ACGUCCUGACACGCAACACACUCAGGUAAUUGAUGACGGAUUGGUCGGUCGAUUGAUUGAUUUCUUUAUUUCUUGUUUUUUUAUUUCUUUGUGUUUUUUUUUACUUUUCUAGUCAGUAAGUUUGGUCAGUGAGUAUUUUGGAUGUCUACCAUUUGGCAUCGUAGGAAAAACUGAAGCUAUGGAUAAGAAUGGAUGCUAACAGUGCGAUGCUAGAAUAGGGGUGCUAGCAGAAGAGUGCUAGCAGAGGAGUGCUAACAGUGCGGUGCUGGCAGAAGAGUGCUAGCAGAAGGGUGCUGACAGAAGGGUGCUGCCUGAAGGGUGCUUAAAGAAGGGUGCUCACAGUAGGGUGCUGACAGAAGGGUGCUGACAGAAGGGUGCUAACAGAUGGGUGCUCACAGUAGGUUGCUAGCAGCUAGCAGAAGGGUGCGAGCAGAAGGGUGCGAGCAGAAGGUUGUUAACAGUAGGGGGCUCAGUACCUGUGAAUGUAUAUGGAGUGUAUUUACUGUAUAUAUUAUGGAGAAAGAAAAGCAA